UAUUUAUGUCUCUCUAGUAACGGUAACAAUUCUGAUUUAUAUUCCUAAAACUGAGAAGAGAUUGUACAUGCUAGAGACUCCAUCAAAGUUACAGCAUCAUCAUCAUUCAGUUAGUAGCCUGUUUUUGGUGUUUCUCGUAUAAAGAGAUCUUGAUUUUCACUGUAAUGGAGAAAUUCAAUUGAGAUACGUACAUGAAGUUGCUGCUACCUACAGAUCAAGAUAAUCAACAAAGAAUCAGUCAAGCUUAUGCAGUGGGUAAGCGUAUUAUAUAGUUGAUAUAGAAUCACUGAAAUGUGGUUUUUAAGCGAUUUUGUCCUGGAAGCAAAAUCAGCUAAUGUUCCGGCAGGGGUCCUAUGUUUUGUUGCAGAUAAAUCAUAUUGUAUAUACGAUGCACUGCAGAAAAAUCACAGUAUAUAUACGCUGCACUGUUGAACAAUCAUAACUUAAAAGCAGCACUCCAGAUAAAAUCGCAGUGCAUAAACUAUGUAUUGACAAGUGGGUGAAGGCAAGUGCAUAAAAGCAGUACAUAAAAGCAUCACUCCAGAGGAAAGGCAAGCUUGAAGUCCAAAAUAAUCUCUGAAGAGGUUUAUUAUCCUCUAGCAUAUGCUUAGUUUCUGGAGAAGACGUUACACUAGUUCCUGAAGAAGAUGUUGCUUCUUGGUCCUCUUCAAAUAAGGAUAAUCUCAUGAUGUUUGAUUUCUUAUACAUGUGAUAAUCUCAUGAUGUUUAUCACAUGUGAUAAUCUCAUGAUGUUUGAUUAAUAAGGAUAAUCUCAUGAUGUUUGAUUUCUUAUGAUAACACAUUUUUUGUUUGGAUGAAUACAUGUUUAUACAUGUGCAUGG